UUACGGCCAUAUCACGCUGAAUCAUUGGUUUCCGUACGAUCACUGUAGUUAAGCAACGUCGAGCCUUGUCAGUACCUAGAUGGGUAACCAUUUGGGAAUACCAAGUGU